UACGGGGGGGGCAAGCGUUGUUCGGAAUUACUGGGCGUAAAGCGUGCGCAGGCGGUUUUGUAAGCCAGAUGUGAAAUCCCCGGGCUUAACCUGGGAAUGGCAUUUGGGACUGCAAGGCUAGAGUGUGGCAGAGGAGACUGGAAUUCCUGGUGUAGCAGUGAAAUGCGUAGAUAUCAGGAGGAAUACCGAUGGCGAAGGCAGGUCUCUGGGCUAACACUGACGCUCAUGCACGAAAGCGUGGGGAGCAAACAGG
rnacentral:rRNA from 1 species